CCUAAGGUUAGCUAGAGAACAAAAUGAUAUAUGAACGAAUCAUGGAGUAACGUUAAUGUAACGGCAGCAGUGUGUCAGCAGUAUGAUCCUCUCGCUCUUCCACUACUACAGGUUGCUACUUGUCACCUUGAUCACGAACACUACCCUUUAGAGUACACUGUAGAAGCUACAUUAUAGUAUAGAAUUGAGUAUUUAUAGUAUACAGUUCGAGGAAUAUUAUAGAUCCUAUAACGAAACUGACAGAAGGAUGGGACUGAGAGAAAUUAGUUUUACAAAUCUGUCUGCCAACCUUAAUUCAGCACCACAGACAGCGCCAUGGAUUGAUCAAUACACGGCACAGUUACAAGGAGGAUACAUUUUCUCCCCUCAUAAUGCCCACUGGUUAAGGUGCUAGGAAGAAGAAUCUUAUCUGCAAACAUCCACUGAUAACUCAUAUUAGGUUGAGAAAUAAGUUGGGAUGGGAAUUGUAUUCAGUAUUAAUGACUAAUAUAAUGUAUAUAUAUUCUGUUAAACCAGCUCAAAUUUGGGUGAGAGGGAGGAAAAGGUCUUUCUGCCAGUACAUAAGGCUGAGGUUAAGGUAGAGGGCAGGUUACCAUAGCAACAUCUCUUUUCAUUCAGCCCCUUAGACAGUCAACCAAGAAUCUUAAAGAUGUUCUAGUUCUGGGUUGUGCAUCAUCAUAGAAUCAUAGAAGGACACAAUACUUCCAUCUCUGCUCACAUAAAAACACAGCAGAGAGAUGGUGGCUGCAGCAGAAAGCUGCUCCAAGACAUGUGUCUGUGGAGGAGGCUCUCAAAAAGGCAUGAAGAGGAGUGACUACACAAGUGUUGGAGGAAGAUACAGUUUUAACCAAAGGCUGUUGUUUUGUGUUUACUGCAGUUUUUUGAAAUAAAUGGUUUAUGCAAUUUUA